AUGGCUAUCAACAAGGCUCUGAUUGUGCUCUUGCCAAAGAAAAAUGGUGCAACCCAAGUGGGGGAUUAUCGCCCAAUAAGCCUCAUUCACUCGGUGGCAAAGUUGAUCGUCAAGGUGCUAUCGAUCAGGCUCUCAAGUGUCAUGAGCCAGCUUAUUUCACCAGUGCAGAGUGCUUUUCAAAAGAAAAAAGGAAUCCAUGGCAGCUUCUUAUAUGUCUGCAACACAGUGAAGCACUUACACCGCAAAAACAAGCCAGCUCUGCUACUCAAACUAGACAUCGCUAGGGCAUUCGAUAGUGUUUCAUGGGAGUACCUGCUUGAGCUGAUGCAACAGCUUGGAUUCCCGGCGAGAUGGUGA
rnacentral:rRNA from 1 species